rnacentral:rRNA from 1 species
UCGGGAAUAUUGGACAAUGGGUGAGAGCCUGAUCCAGCCAUGCCGCGUGCAGGAAGAAGGCGUUAUGCGUUGUAAACUGCUUUUUGCCAGGGGAUAAAAAGACCGUGCGCGGUUAAUUGAAGGUACCUGGUGAAUAAGCCACGGCUAACUACGUGCCAGCAGCCGCGGUAAUACGUAGGUGGCAAGCGUUGUCCGGAUUUAUUGGGUUUAAAGGGUGCGUAGGUGGCCCUGUAAGUCAGUGGUGAAAUAUCUCAGCUUAACUGAGAGGGUGCCAUUGAUACUGCAGGGCUUGAGUACAGAUGAGGUAGGCGGAAUUGACGGUGUAGCGGUGAAAUGCAUAGAUAUCGUCAAGAACACCGAUAGCGAAGGCAGCUUACCAAGCUGUAACUGACACUGAGGCACGAAAGUGUGGGGAUCAAACAGGAUUAGAUACCCUCGUAGUCCCUGAGCGGGCUGGCAAGGCGCAU